UACGAAGGGGGCUAGCGUUGCUCGGAAUCACUGGGCGUAAAGCGCACGUAGGCGGAUUGCUAAGUCAGGGGUGAAAUCCUGGAGCUCAACUCCAGAACUGCCUUUGAUACUGAAGAUCUUGAGUUCGGGAGAGGUGAGUGGAACUGCGAGUGUAGAGGUGAAAUUCGUAGAUAUUCGCAAGAACACCAGUGGCGAAGGCGGCUCACUGGCCCGAUACUGACGCUGAGGUGCGAAAGCGUGGGGAGCAAACAGG
rnacentral:rRNA from 1 species